AAGCGUGCGCAGGCGGUUGUGCAAGUCUGAUGUGAAAGCCCCGGGCUUAACCUGGGAACGGCAUUGGAGACUGCACGACUAGAGUGCGUCAGAGGGGGGUAGAAUUCCACGUGUAGCAGUGAAAUGCGUAGAGAUGUGGAGGAAUACCGAUGGCGAAGGCAGCCCCCCUGGGAUGACACUGACGCUCAUGCACGAAAGCGUGGGGAGCAAACAGGAUUAGAUACCCUAGU
rnacentral:rRNA from 1 species